rnacentral:rRNA from 1 species
GCCUUCGGGCCCGAAUCUCCCACCCUCUGUUUACCCACCUCUGUUGCUUUGGCGGCGACCCCGCGCCCAGCGCGCGGGCGCCGCCAGAGGACCACCAAACUCCAGUCAGUGAACGUCGCAGUCUGAAAAACAAGUUUAAUAAACUAAAACUUUCAACAACGGAUCUCUUGGUUCUGGCAUCGAUGAAGAACGCAGCGAAAUGCGAUAAGUAAUGUGAAUUGCAGAAUUCAGUGAAUCAUCGAAUCUUUGAACGCACAUUGCGCCCCUUGGCAUUCCGAGGGGCAUGCCUGUUCGAGCGUCAUUACAACCCUCAAGCUCUGCUUGGUAUUGGGCGCCGUCCGCGCACGCGGACGCGCCUCGAAGACCUCGGCGGCGGCGUCCAGCCCUCAAGCGUAGUAGAAAACACCUCGCUUUGGAGCGGUUGGCGUCGCCCGCCGGACGAACCUUCUGAACUUUUCUCAAGGUUGACCUCGGAUCAGGUAGGGAUACCCGCUGAACUUAAGCAUAUCAAUAAGCGGAGGA